AUGAACGCUAGCGGCAGGCUUAAUACAUGCAAGUUGAGGGGCAGCAUGAUAUACGCGAGUAUAUUGGUGGCGACCGGCGGACGGGUGAGUAAUAGGUAGGAGACCUACCUCAUACAGGGGGAUAGCAUAGAGAAAUCUGUGGUAAUACCCCAUGAGGUUAUAUGAAUAGAGGCAUAUAAUCAAAGCAUAAGCGAUUAUGCGGUAUGAGAGGGGCCUACUGACCAUUAGCUAGUUGGUGAGGUAAGGGCUCACCAAGGCGAAGAUGGUUAGGGGUUUUGAGAGAGAGACCCCCCACAUUGGAACUGAGAGACGGUCCAGACUCCUACGGGAGGCAGCAGUAGGGAAUAUUGGGCAAUGGGCGAAAGCCUGACCCAGCCAUGCCGCGUGAAGGAAGACGGCCUUAUGGGUUGUAAACUUCUUUACUACGCGAAUAGAGGUUAGUACGAGAUACUAAUAGGAAGGUAGUGUAGUAAAAAGCACCGGCUAACUCCGUG
rnacentral:rRNA from 1 species